AUGAACGCUGGCGGCGUGCUUAACACAUGCAAGUCGAACGGAAAGGCUCCUGCUUGCAGGGGUACUCGAGUGGCGAACGGGUGAGUAACACGUGGGUGAUCUGCCCAGCACUUCGGGAUAAGCCUGGGAAACUGGGUCUAAUACCGGAUAGGACGAUGGUUUGGAUGCCAUUGUGGAAAGUUUUUUCGGUGUGGGAUGAGCUCGCGGCCUAUCAGCUUGUUGGUGGGGUAAUGGCCUACCAAGGCGUCGACGGGUAGCCGGCCUGAGAGGGUGUACGGCCUCAUUGGGACUGAGAGACGGCCCAGACCCCAGGGGGAGGCAGCAGGGGGGAAUAUUGCACAGGGGGCGCAGGCUGGAGGCAGCGCCGCCGGGGGGGGGAUGACGGCUUGCGGUUUGUAAACUCCUUUCGCUGGGGACGAAGCGAAAGUGACGGUACCUGGAGAAGAAGCCCCGGCUAACUACGUG
rnacentral:rRNA from 1 species